rnacentral:rRNA from 1 species
GAUGAACGCUGGCGGCGUGCCUAAUACAUGCAAGUCGAGCGAACAGAUAAGGAGCUUGCUCCUUUGACGUUAGCGGCGGACGGGUGAGUAACACGUGGAUAACCUACCUAUAAGACUGGGAUAACUUCGGGAAACCGGAGCUAAUGCCGGAUAACAUAUUGAACCGCAUGGUUCAAUAGUGAAAGGCGGCUUUGCUGUCACUUAUCGAUGGAUCCGCGCCGUAUUAGCUAGUUGGUAAGGUAACGGCUUACCAAGGCAACGAUACGUAGCCGACCUGGGAGGGUGAUCGGCCACACUGGAACUGAGACACGGUCCAGACUCCUACGGGAGGCAGCAGUAGGGAAUCUUCCGCAAUGGGCGAAAGCCUGACGGAGCAACGCCGCGUGAGUGAUGAAGGUCUUCGGAUCGUAAAACUCUGUUAUCAGGGAAGAACAAAUGUGUAAGUAACUGUGCACAUCUUGACGGUACCUGAUCAGAAAGCCACGGCUAACUACGUG